rnacentral:tRNA from 1 species
CCUGGUGGCUGAGAUGGUAAAGUGUCUGCCUACAAUGCGGGAGACCAGGGUUUGAUCCCUGGGCCAGGA